rnacentral:SRP_RNA from 1 species
GCGUGCUAAGCGGGGAGUUAGCGGUGCCCUGUACCCGGAACCCGCUAUACCGGGGCUGAACCCCCACUCGAGGUCGGUAACUUUUAAGCGGGCGUUAUCUGAUGGCGUUGAACGGACGGGCCUUGCGCAACGGACGGCCGCCGAACCCCGUCAGGACCGGAAGGUAGCAGCGGUAAGUGGAAUCGCCGUGUGAUGCGAGUCAACCCGGCUGUGAGCCGGAGGAUGGCUGUCCAAAUAAGAGCCAACGAACGACAGUGGGUGCACGC